rnacentral:rRNA from 1 species
UACGUAGGGGGCUAGCGUUGUCCGGAAUCAUUGGGCGUAAAGCGCGUGUAGGCGGUCCGGUAAGUCCGCUGUGAAAGUCGGGGGCUCAACCCUCGGAUGCCGGUGGAUACUGUCGGGCUUGAGUACGGAAGAGGCGAGUGGAAUUCCUGGUGUAGCGGUGAAAUGCGCAGAUAUCAGGAGGAACACCAAUUGCGAAGGCAGCUCGCUGGGACGUUACUGACGCUGAGACGCGAAAGCGUGGGGAUCAAACGGG